GGGGGGGGGGGGGGGGGGGGGGGGGGGUGGGGGGGGGGGGGGGGGGGGGGGGUGGGGGGGCUCGGGUGGGGGGGGGGUGAGUAGCAGGUGGGUAAGCUGCCCUUGGCUUCGGGCGAACUUCAGGGAACUGGGGCUGAUACCGGAGAGGAAUCCUUGCUGCAUGGUGGGGGUUGGGACGCUUCGGCGGUUUUGGAUGGACUCGCGGCUUAUCAGCUUGUUGGUGGGGUAGUGGCUUACCAAGGCGUUGACGGGUAGCCGGCCUGAGAGGGCGACCGGCCACAUUGGGACUGAGAUACGGCCCAGACGCCUACGGGAGGCAGCAGUGGGGAAUAUUGCACAAUGGGCGGAAGCCUGAUGCAGCAACGCCGCGUGCGGGAUGACGGCCUUCGGGUUGUAAACCGCUUUCAGCAGGGGCGAAGCUUGUGGUGACGGUACCUGCAGAAGAAGCACCGGCUAACUACGUG
rnacentral:rRNA from 1 species